rnacentral:lncRNA from 1 species
CCAAUUCUUAAAAACAUCAUUAUCAUUAUCACGUGAUCAGAUAAAACUAUUACACGAUGUAUCAAUGUCAUUCCAGCUGUAAAGUCUACCUAUAAAUUACAACACAUUAUCACAUUGAAGUCUCUUUAAAGUUUAUUAAGGAGAGGAGGAGACAGAAACCGGCCGGUCGAUUUCUCUACAGCACUUACUUUCAGUCAUUUCCGGUUCAAUCAACAAGAAGAUGCAUAUACCACCGACGAUUUUUCAGAAUAACGUCGUUUCCUUUG